rnacentral:rRNA from 1 species
GACGAACGCUGGCGGCGUGCUUAACACAUGCAAGUCGAACGGUAAGGCGCUGGUUUUGUGGGGUGCUCGAGUGGCGAACGGGUGAGUAACACGUGAGUAACCUGCCCUUGUCUUUGGGAUAACUGCAGGAAACUGGGGCUAAUACCGGAUAUUCAGUCCGCCUGCAUGGGGGGGGUUGGAAAGGGUCUGCGGUGGGGGAUGGUCUGCCGGCUUGUCAGCUGGUUGGUGGGGGAGUGGCUUACCAAGGCUUUGUCGGGUAGUCGGCUCGAGGGGGUGACCGCCGACAUAGGGCCUAGGAUACGGCGCGGAGUAGUACUGGAGACAGUAGCGCGAAGGAUUGAAGAAUGGUGCGGAGCCUGAUGCAGGAACGUCGAGUGCGGGAUGAUGGGCUUCGGGUUGUAAACCGCUUAAGCCAGUGAUGAAGCGUGGUUGACGGUAAUGGGUAAAGAAGCACCGGCUAACUACGUG